CCAGCUUUUAUUCCCUUAUUUGGCCCCAUCCACAUCUUGCUGAUUGGUCCAUUUUACAGAACACUGAUUGGUGCAUUUUUACAGAGUGCUGACUGGUGUGUUUACAAACCUUUAGCUAGACACAGAGUGCUGAUUGGUGCGUUUUUACAGAGUGCUGAUUGUUGCAAUUACAAUCCUCUAGGUAGACAGAGAAGUUCUCCAAGUCCCCAUUCGACCCAGGAAGUCCAGCUGUCUUCACCUCUUACAAUGAAUGAGUUUACAAUUUAUGGUGAAUAACUUACAAGCAAAUAAUUAAAGAUCUACAAAACUCUUCGUGCUUUACAUUAACAGAAUGAACUGAUUUAUUUAAAAAUAUUUAUACUGAGCUACUACUAUAUGUCAACCCCUGUGGGAAUUCAGAGUUGAUUAAGGUAUGAGCAAUUCAAGGUUUUCUGCAAAUAAUGAACUUACUAUAACUUAGUCAUACCUCAACACUGUAAUUUGAAGCUUAGAUGUUCUGCUUAAAAUUAUAAACAUGUAAAGCUAAAAGUCCUUCAGUAAAAAAAAAAAAACAACAACAUAUUCAAAUUUUGCAUAUUUUUGCAAAAUUUGUAAAAUUUUGUUUGCUUUGUAAUUUAGAAAUUUGGGGUGGUAUACCAUUAAAUUAGAACAUAUCAUAUAAUCUAGAAAAACAGAGAUUACUGAAUAUAAACGUUAUCCUGAUUUCAUAUACAGAAUAUUUCACAGAAGACUCUUUCAGGGGCAAUGCAAAAUGAAAAGUAAAAAAGUUAUGCCUUAUUGGUAAUCUGAGAAAUGCAAAUUUCAACCAUAAGAAAAUUUCAUUUUAUCCCAUCAUUUGGAAAAAAGAAAGGAAAGUCUGAUAAUACCACAUGUGAGCUAGAAUAUGGACCCACUAGGACUCUCAUAUGGCUGACAAGAGAAUAAAUUAAUACAAUAUUCUGAAAAAGAAUUUAGCAUUAUCUUGUGAAGCUACCAAUGUGUAAAUACAAGACUCAGAAUAUAUUUAUAGGUAAAUAACUUACAGAACUCUUGAGUAUGUGUGCCUGGAGACCUGUAUAAAAUGUUUAUGGAAUUACUGGGCCCCAAAUUACAAAAAUGUAAAACGAUUAUAAGCAUAGGAAUAGAGUGCUACAAAAAGAGUAUGGCGAUUCCUCAAGGAUCUAGAACUAGAUGUACCAUAUGACCCAGCCAUCCUAUUACUGGGUAUAUACCCAAAAGAUUAUAAAUCAUGCUGCU
rnacentral:lncRNA from 1 species